ensembl:misc_RNA Metazoa_SRP Metazoan signal recognition particle RNA
GCCGGGCAUGGUGGUGCGUGCCUAUAGUCCCAGCUACUUGGGAGGCUGAGGCAGGAGGAUCACUUGAGCCCAGGAAUUCGAGGUGGCAGUGAGCUGUGGUCUUGCCACUGCACUCCAGCCUGAGCAACAAAGUGAGACCCUGUAUUAA